CAAUCGAACACAGGCCUGGAUAGAAGGUGUGCAAUAUCCAAGCUUUCCAUCAGGUGGUUCCCCACUUCUUGAUGCCACGGUCCAAAAAUCAAGCAAGUCCACUCCAUAUGCUUAUUCAAAGUGGAAGUAACUAUAUAGAGUGUAGGAUCAAGGGUUCACAAUGCUUACAUGGAUGCAUGAUCAAAGCUGCUCAUCAGGUACAAGCCACUAUAUGGCUUUCCUUGUGCUAAAUUCAGGUCCAUCCAUAUUGAGUUGCAUGCUAGUUAAUGCUUUUGUAAAAAGGCUCAUAUUGAGUUGCAUGCUAUGAUGCUUGUGAUGCAGAUGCAAUUUUAUCCUUGAAUAAAAAGGGAAGAAAAAUCUGUCCACAUAUUUAUAUAUAUAUAAAAAAUCCCAUAGCUAUUCUCCUCCAUCUGCUAGUUACAGGUGGAGCAUUGGUAACAGAGGGGGGCUUUGCUGCUUCAUAUGGGGAUGGAUAUGGACUUCAUUCUGUGGUACUGACAAAGGUCCUCUAUAUGGCAUGAGUUCUGGUUAUU